rnacentral:rRNA from 1 species
GGCGGCGUGCUUAACACAUGCAAGUCGAACGGAAAGGCCCUGCUUGCAGGGUACUCGAGUGGCGAACGGGUGAGUAACACGUGGGUGAUCUGCCCUGCACUUCGGGAUAAGCUUGGGAAACUGGGUCUAAUACCGGAUAGGAACCAUCUUUAGUGUGGUGGUUGGAAAGUUUUUUCGGUGUAGGAUGAGCUCGCGGCCUAUCAGCUUGUUGGUGGGGUAAUGGCCUACCAAGGCGGCGACGGGUAGCCGGCCUGAGAGGGUGUACGGCCACAUUGGGACUGAGAUACGGCCCAGACUCCUACGGGAGGCAGCAGUGGGGAAUAUUGCACAAUGGGCGCAAGCCUGAUGCAGCGACGCCGCGUGGGGGAUGAAGGCCUUCGGGUUGUAAACUCCUUUCGUUAGGGACGAAGCUUUUUGUGACGGUACCUAGAUAAGAAGCACCGGCUAACUACGUGCCAGCAGCCGCGGUAAUACGUAGGGUGCGAGCGUUGUCCGGAAUUACUGGGCGUAAAGGGCUCGUAGGUGGUUUGUCGCGUCGUCUGUGAAAUUCUGGGGCUUAACUCCGGGCGUGCAGGCGAUACGGGCAUAACUUGAGUGCUGUAGGGGUAACUGGAAUUCCUGGUGUAGCGGUGAAAUGCGCAGAUAUCAGGAGGAACACCGGUGGCGAAGGCAGGUUACUGGGCAGUUACUGACGCUGAGGAGCG